rnacentral:rRNA from 1 species
GUUGAACGCUGGCGGCAGGCUUAACACAUGCAAGUCGAGCGGAGACUUCGGUCUUAGCGGCGAACGGGUGAGUAAUACCUAGGAAUCCGCCUAUUAGUGGGGGAUAACGAAUCGAAAGGUUCGCUAAUACCCGCAUACGUCCCACGGGANAAAGGGGGGGAUCUUCGGACCUCUCGCUAAUAGAUGAGCCUAGGCCGGAUUAGCUAGUUGGUAGGGUAAAGGCCUACCAAGGCGACGAUCUGUAGCUGGUCUGAGAGGAUGGCCAGCCACACUGGAACUGAGACACGGUCCAGACUCCUACGGGAGGCAGCAGUGGGGAAUAUUGGACAAUGGGGGCAACCCUGAUCCAGCCAUGCCGCGUGUGUGAAGAAGGCCUCGGUGUAAGCACUUUGUUGGGUA